rnacentral:rRNA from 1 species
GAUGAACGCUGGCGGCGUGCCUAAUACAUGCGAGUCGAGCGAACAGACGAGGAGCUUGCUCCUCUGACGUUAGCGGCGGACGGGUGAGUAACACGUGGAUAACCUACCUAUAAGACUGGGAUAACUUCGGGAAACCGGAGCUAAUACCGGAUAAUAUAUUGAACCGCAUGGUUCAAUAGUGAAAGACGGUUUUGCUGUCACUUAUAGAUGGAUCCGCGCCGCAUUAGCUAGUUGGUAAGGUAACGGCUUACCAAGGCGACGAUGCGUAGCCGACCUGAGAGGGUGAUCGGCCACACUGGAACUGAGACACGGUCCAGACUCCUACGGGAGGCAGCAGUAGGGAAUCUUCCGCAAUGGGCGAAAGCCUGACGCAGCAACGCCGCGUGUGUGAUGAAGGUCUUCGGAUCGUAAAACUCUGUUAUUAGGGAAGAACAAAUGUGUAAGUAACUAUGCACGUCUUGACGGUACCUAAUCAGAAAGCCACGGCUAACUACGUG